GUGAAUCAUCAAAUUUUUGAACGCAUAUUGCACUUCCUGGUAUUCCGGAGAGUAUGCCUGUUUGAGGGUAAUUAAAAAGAAUCUUUAACCAAUUUUUUUUGGUUAAAGGAAAUGAGCUCUCUGCGUUUAUAGAGGUAGCUUGAAAUAAAUGGUUAAGAUUCAUUUUAGUCGAGACGCGUAAUAAUAUUAUUUCGUGUAUUCUUCAUUAUGUGAUUAUAAUGUUUUGAUGUAUAUAAAUUUGAUCUGUAUGUG
rnacentral:misc_RNA from 1 species